rnacentral:rRNA from 1 species
UGGGGAAUAUUGGACAAUGGGCGCAAGCCUGAUCCAGCCAUGCCGCGUGUGUGAUGAAGGCCCUAGGGUUGUAAAGCUCUUUCACCGGUGAAGAUAAUGACGGUAAACGGAGAAGAAGCCCCGGCUAACUUCGUGCCAGCAGCCGCGGUAAUACGAAGGGGGCUAGCGUUGUUCGGAUUUACUGGGCGUAAAGCGCACGUAGGCGGACUUUUAAGUCAGGGGUGAAAUCCCGGGGCUCAACCCCGGAACUGCCUUUGAUACUGGAAGUCUUGAGUAUGGUAGAGGUGAGUGGAAUUCCGAGUGUAGAAGUGAAAUUCGUAGAUAUUCGGAGGAACACCAGUGGCGAAGGCGGCUCACUGGACCAUUACUGACGCUGAGGUGCGAAAGCGUGGGGAGCAAACAGG